CAGAUCGACUCCAUCGAGCAGCUGGUCCUAACAUAUGAACCAGAGAGGAAUCACUGACGUUGGGAGCGGCUGGCCCUGCUGGCCCUGCGUCCUCUGGCCUGGUAUCUCCCUGGGCCCCUCAGUGAGGAUCUUCAUGUACCUGCUCACCAUUUGCACACUCAGCAUGGCCUCUUUGCAGGCAGGAGGCAGCGGGGUCCUGCACACUCAGCUUCCCUCAUUUUCCUCAGUUGUCAGCCCCGUUCUGUCCCACUCCAAUCUGCACUUAGGGCAGCUGGCCUGGAUGGGCUUUACUAGGGGCCCCGUCUGUGUGCUGAGCCCGUUUCCCUUGCUGGCUGCAAGCCGUGGGUUCUCUUUCCCCUCUGUGCCCCUCGUGCUGAUCUUCUAGAGGCCGCUCCCCAAUCUCCUCCACUCCACACCCACCGGAUGUGUGCCCAGCCAGGCCUCUGGCACCGCCAUGGCAGCCCACGAUUGGAAACCCACUGUCAGCAGGCAGGAACUUGGUUUAAGAGAUGCCACAGAGGAAGCCUGGUUUUGAUGUGGACUCGGAUGCCCUGUGGGUAUCAGUCCUGCUGACACUUUGGCCCGAAAUAGAUCCAGUGCUGAGUAAGCAAUGUACGCCGGAGCCUCAGUGAGUCCAUCUGCACAGUGGGGAGCAUGGAGGGAUGGGUUUGGCCUUUACUUCUGCUUGUUCAGUCCUUCAGCUCGCAGAAGGGAUGCUAGUCCAUGAAGGUGACCUCCCAGAACGGGUUAAUUAAACUUUAUCACUCACUGUCC